rnacentral:rRNA from 1 species
AACGAACGCUGGCGGCGUGGAUAAGACAUGCAAGUCGAACGCCAUGCCUGCCGUAGCAAUACGGCGGGUGUGGAGUGGCGCAAGGGUGCGUAACACGUGGGAAUCUACCCUGAAGUUGGGGAUAAUCCCGGGAAACCGGGACUAAUACCGAAUGCGGCCGCAAGGCCAAAGCUGGGGACCGCAAGGCCUGGCGCUUCUGGAUGAGCCCGCGGCCUAUCAGCUAGUUGGCGGNGUAAAAGACCCCACGAGUAC